rnacentral:rRNA from 1 species
UGGGGAAUCUUGCACAAUGGGGGAAACCCUGAUGCAGCGACGCCGCGUGAACGAUGAAGCCCUUCGGGGUGUAAAGUUCUUUCGACAGGAACGAUAAUGACGGUACCUGGAGAAGAAGCUGCGGCUAACUACGUGCCAGCAGCCGCGGUAAUACGUAGGCAGCGAGCGUUGUGCGGAGUUACUGGGCGUAAAGAGUGCGUAGGCGGCGAGCCAAGUUUGGUGUGAAAUCUCCCGGCUUAACCGGGAGGGUGCGCCGAAAACUGGUUGGCUGCAGUAUGGGAGAGGAAAGCGGAAUUCCUGGUGUAGCGGUGAAAUGCGUAGAUAUCAGGAGGAACACCUGCGGUGUAGACAGCUUUCUGGACCAAAACUGACGCUGAGGCACGAAAGCGUGGGUAGCAAACA